rnacentral:rRNA from 1 species
UACGUAGGCAGCAAGCGUUGUUCGGAAUUACUGGGCGUAAAGAGUGUGUAGGCGGUGCUCUAAGUCUGUUGUGAAAUCUCCCGGCUUAACCGGGAGGGUGCGGCGGAAACUGGAGUGCUUGAGGGUGGGAGAGGUAAGCGGAAUUCCUGGUGUAGCGGUGAAAUGCUUAGAUAUGACAUAGAACACCGAUAGCGAAGGCAGCUUGCUACACGAGUAUUGACACUGAGGCACGAAAGCGUGGGGAUCAAACAGG